CGGGUGAGUAACGCGUGAGGAACCUGCCUCAAAGAGGGGGACAACAGUUGGAAACGACUGCUAAUACCGCAUAAGCCCACGGCUCGGCAUCGAGCAGAGGGAAAAGGAGCAAUCCGCUUUGAGAUGGCCUCGCGUCCGAUUAGCUAGUUGGUGAGGUAACGGCCCACCAAGGCGACGAUCAGUAGCCGGACUGAGAGGUUGACCGGCCACAUUGGGACUGAGACACGGCCCAG
rnacentral:rRNA from 1 species